GAAUGAAUUCCGUCAUGUUUUUAACUCUUGGCCGCUCUGCAACCAGCCGCCUUCUUGAUUUGGAUUUGAGAAAAAGCGAUGACUCACAACACAAUCAAAAGGAGCAUUUCAUCAUUUCAAGGCACAAAGUCAGAUUAUGGACAUCAUGUUUGAAGCGCCAACGCCACUGGAUCCUCAUUUUCAGCACAAGGCUGACGACUCGUGUUUGCCAAUUUGGCGGACCGGUCUCCGUCGGGCUGGGCAGGAUGUUUUGGAAAUGCACCUGGCGGAGUGGCAAUAGGGCGGCAGAAAGUUCAACUAAACCUUACGUCUGUGCAAGCACAGCAAUGGAGAGGUGGUCCAUGUCGAGAAUUGAAUGCGCAACAAGCACGGCGCAUUUAAUGGGAAUGAAAGGAGCAACUUUGAUUUGCCACAACUGAAGUUGUUGUGACCGCAAGCACAGCGCCGCAGCCCUCCCUCUCGCAGUUCCGCCAGUCUGGACUCUUCUGCAGAAUUACGGUUUGGAAUUUUGCAUUACAGGUCGUUUUUAUUUUCACUUUUGUUUUUCAAUUUCGAUUGGAGUACUCCUGACAAAGAAGUUUCACAAAUGGUAUUUUGUACUCUAGUAAUUUACAAUUCCCAAUUUUGACCUUGGUUGUGUUAGCUACAAUAAUCUUAAUAAUUGACACGGGGUCCAAAACGCCUCCAUGCAGUGAUACGCCACACACUGCUCAGGAUUUAUGCUGAUUACAAAAACAGAGGCCUGAGCGCUGCAUUAAUCUGCAGCAUUUUCAUGAUGACUGAGACACAGUGACAAGAUCAAGUACAAUCUACAUGUUUUUAAUCGGUACAUCAAAUUUGGGUCCAGACACAAACAGUCUCACAUAGCAGGACAAUUUUAUUGUCAUAUUAACUGCAAAUCUUUAUCAUUUAUGAUUAAUUUCUAAAUAUGCUUUAUUGGUGUCAUUUCAGUAGAAUCUACGGUCGCGAUAAUUUCAAGUUCAUGACAAAAUAGAGUCUUUUCAAUAAAUAAAUAUAUAGAUUUAUAUUUAUACUUUAUAUGUCGAAAAUAAAUAUAUUUUACAUCUCAUAAAUAGGAUCGCCCAUAUGUACCCCUCGGCUGCUUGCCUUUUGAAUAGUGUCCCUGAACAUCACACGUCAAUCGCUGGUUCUUCUGUUCCGCAUUGAUCACACCGAUUAUUCAAAGCUUAUGGAAAGCCAUUUUAGCUUUUAUUCCGUAUCCUUGAGAUCCAUCUCGAUGUACUAGUAAGACAAUUCAACACACUCGUAGAAUGACUUCUUUUUUUUUUUUCCUCCCGUGUCUGGUGGCCUACUGGUCCGCAGUUCAAUCUAAAUGAUAAACUACUAGUAACACUACUCGACCCAACUAGCAGGCAUAUUUUACACACGAGUAGCCCCCCGGACCCAUCUCGUAGCACCAACAUUUUGCUUCACUAGUCCCCUUUAGUAGAUCAAAGUUGUCUUAGUAGAGUGCAGAAAAUGUCAUCAAGUCGUGGGGAAAAAAAAACACGUUCUAUUAGUACGCUAAUGUGUUCUAAUAGUGAGGACAAAGAGUGUACUCGUACGUGGCACUUAAACUGGAUUGUAACAAGAUUGCUUGAUGGAAAACUGUUUCGGCAUGAAUUUGAUUCGUCACUCAGGAGUAGGACAACUUUGGUGUACUCGUUUGACAUCUACGUGUUAGUGAGGCAAAAGUUUGCACUCAAUGACAAUAUGCGCCGGUACUUGUACCACGACAGACGGGAUGACAUUCUACCAGUUUGCACGAGUUGCUUCACUUGCAGUUGUGCUACGAAUACAUCAGUAGUCAUUCCUUUACUGGAAGGCAAUGGUGGAAAAAAAGACGACUCGUACGACGCAGUCACUUUACCGGUGAGCCGAAUUGUCUUACUAGUGAGGAAAAACAUUUUGGAGCAUUGAUAUGACAUCCUUGAUAUGAGGUUGACGUGCUCGUAGGCUUAAGGGACACCUACCUGUACCACAUGUGACUAGCAAGGCAAAAGCGCACUACUUGCCGACUGCAUGCAACUGGUGCUACCAUGGAAUAAACGCUCGAAGGGCCGCCCAUACUAUCCUCCGUCCUGGUGGUUCAGUAAGUGCUCUUGGAUGAAGAGCACAUUUGUCGUGUUUUCUGUCUUCUUCUCGCUUCAGUCCGUGACCAUUUGGAAGGCGUCGCAGGAAUGUUGCGCAAUGUGCGCACUGUACAUUUGAGCCUUCUUCCUGUCCUGCCUUUCUCUCGGUCUAUGUGGGAAAGUGCCUCCUCUUCCGUUAGCUCGAGUGCUUCCUUUCCCACCGCGUGAGGCGCGCCUCAAAAGGCCACGCCGUCUGUUGGUUCCGCGCCAGCGUAGUGCUAAUUGAUCUCUAGGAAAAGUGGUUAUAGCGCCCGACCGCAGCGUCCUCUCUUGCCGGCUCGCUCGGCCUCAGAUGCAAUGAAGCGACAUCAAGGAACACGCAAAGAUGUUUAUAUCAGUGCUCUUGGAAGCGAGCCGAGGCGGUGACCUCAGCGCAGGGUAAACAGUUUUGUAGCAAACAACCCCCUGUGGCCACGUCGUCUUGGAAGCGGGAGCGCCCGUCCAAGCUGCGGUCACCUGUACUGGAAGAGGUCCCGGUAGGCCUGAGGGAUUUUCUCAAACUCCACGGGUCGCGUCCGGCGUCCACGCCCCUGAUGCUGACCAGACCGACUGCCAGACUGAUGAACUCCAGGAUACCUUGGGAUCAAACAUGCAAGCUGGUCAGGAAGCACUCUACUGUAUACGCCCAGAAAGAGAAGCCUGUGCACUUGGACGAUGAAGUUAUUCUUUUUCUGCUGGUCUCACCUUGGAUAGCUGUGAUACACUUAAAAAGGCAGGAACAUGUUUGUGUUUAAUUUCCUUUUCCUGCCCUACUGGGCCAUCCACUAGUGGACUGGACAGGUUUCUUUUGCUAUUUUUUUUUUUAAAGCUGCUUUGUUUCAUGGGGCACUUCAGUUCUUAGGAGCAAGUGGAGAAAUUAUAUAUAACAUAUCAUUACAAAACAUACUGUGACAUUAUAUUAC